rnacentral:misc_RNA from 1 species
AACGCACAUUGCGCCCUCUGGUAUUCCGGAGGGCAUGCCUGUUCGAGCGUCAUUACACCACUCAAGCCUCGCUUGGUAUUGGGCUCCGCGUCUCACCACGCGCGCCCCAAUUGCACCGGCCGGGCACCUGACCCCAGAGCGUAGAAGCAUCAGAAACUUUCGCUCCGAGGAGAGGGUGACGCGCGCGCCGUGAAAACACCAAAACCACAAAGGUUGACCUCGGAUCAGGUAGGGAUACCCGCUGAACUUAA